GACGAACGCUGGCGGCGUGCUUAACACAUGCAAGUCGAACGGAAAGGCCCUGCUUUUGUGGGGUGCUCGAGUGGCGAACGGGUGAGUAACACGUGAGUAACCUGCCCUUGACUUUGGGAUAACUUCAGGAAACUGGGGCUAAUACCGGAUAGGAGCUCCUGCUGCAUGGUGGGGGUUGGAAAGUUUCGGCGGUUGGGGAUGGACUCGCGGCUUAUCAGCUUGUUGGUGGGGUAGUGGCUUACCAAGGUUUUGACGGGUAGCCGGCCUGAGAGGGUGACCGGCCACAUUGGGACUGAGGUACGGCCCAGACUCCUACGGGAGGCAGCAGUGGGGAAUAUUGCACAAUGGGCGGAAGCCUGAUGCAGCAACGCCGCGUGCGGGAUGACGGCCUUCGGGUUGUAAACCGCUUUCGCCUGUGACGAAGCGUGAGUGACGGUAAUGGGUAAAGAAGCACCGGCUAACUACGUG
rnacentral:rRNA from 1 species